rnacentral:lncRNA from 1 species
UUUUCUUUAAAAUAAGUUGUUUGAGGACAAUCAACAAGUUAAGUUUAGGGUUAUGAUUAGUCACCAAUUUAACACAUUUUUACAAGUUACAUGCUAGUAAAUUAUUAACUAAAUGAAGUCUUUCAGGUGAUAAUUGAUAGUUUUGAGGAGUUUUAUUAGUUUUAACAAGUGUAAAGAAAAUCCAAAUUGGACUAAGGAAGACCGCAAAAAGCAUACAAAUGUGUCCAUGCAUCCAGAAGCGCCCGAUGCAUAUAGCAGGAAACCAUAUGCAUAUCUCAACAACAAGUGCAUACAUCAUUAAACCAUAUGCAUAUCCUUACUUCCAGACGCAUAUGGCAGAUUUGAAGGCAAAAAAUGCCUUUGGUCAGACGCAUACAGAGGCAUCCAUAUGCUUACAGUAGGAAGGCUUACGCAUAUUCUCACUCCCAUACGCAUAUGAUAGUUUUGAAGGCCAAAAGGCAUACUUUAUUGCACACUCGUAGGGAUGGAAAUGGGUCGAGUCGAGUCUAACUCGCCUCAACUCGGCUCGACUCAAUAAGAAUUGAUUCAGCUCAAAACUUGUCUCGAGUUUGACACAAACUAUUUUUUAAGCUCAUACCCAUCUCGUUUUAAGUUCACGAACAACUCGGUUCAACUCGUUAG